rnacentral:rRNA from 1 species
AGAGUUUGAUCAUGGCUCAGGACAAACGCUGGCGGCGUGCGUAAAACAUGCAAGUCGCACGAGCCCCUCGGGGCUAGUGGCAGACGGCUGAGUAACGCGUGGGAACCUGCCUCGGCGUGGGGGAUAACCGCCCGAAAGGGUGGCUAAUACCGCAUACGGUCCUUCGGGAAGAAAGCCUUCGGGUGCGCCGAGAGGGGCCCGCGUCCGAUUAGCUGGUUGGUGGGGUAACGGCCUACCAAGGCGAUGAUCGGUAGCUGGUCUGAGAGGAUGAUCAGCCAGACUGGGACUGGGACACGGCCCAGACUCCUACGGGAGGCAGCAGUUAGGAAUUUUGGGCAAUGGCCGCAAGGCUGACCCAGCAACGCCGCGUGGGGGACGAAGGCUCUCGGGUUGUAAACCCCUUUUCUCGGGGACGAUGAUGACGGUACCCGAGGAAGAAGCCCCGGCUAACUACGUGCCAGCAGCCGCGGUAAUACGUAGGGGGCGAGCGUUGUCCGGAUUUAUUGGGCGUAAAGCGCGCGUAGGCGGUGUCGCAAGUCGGCCGUGAAAUCUCCAGGCUCAACUUGGAGGGGUCGGGCGAGACUGCGGCGCUGGAGGCAGGCAGAGGGCGGUGGAAUUCCGGGUGUAGUGGUGGAAUGCGUAGAGAUCCGGAGGAACACCAGUGGCGAAGGCGGCCGCCUGGGCCUGUCCUGACGCUGAG